CAAAUAUAUACUAGUCCAAUGAUAAUGAACGCCAUACUAAUUUCCAAAUUGUACACAAAAAACUAAAAUUAAAAUAAUACAAGACUAACAAAGGCCAGAGGCUCCUGACUUGGGACAGGCGCAAAAAUGCGGCGGGGUUAAACAUGUUUGUGAGAUCUCAACCCUCCCCCUAUACCUCUAACCAAUGUAGAAAAGUAAACGCAUAACAAUACGCAC
rnacentral:lncRNA from 1 species